GACGAACGCUGGCGGCGUGCCUAAUACAUGCAAGUCGAGCGGACUUAAAAAGCUUGCUUUUUAAGUUAGCGGCGGACGGGUGAGUAACACGUGGGCAACCUGCCUGUAAGACUGGGAUAACUUCGGGAAACCGGAGCUAAUACCGGAUAAUCCUUUUCUACUCAUGUAGAAAAGCUGAAAGACGGUUUACGCUGUCACUUACAGAUGGGCCCGCGGCGCAUUAGCUAGUUGGUGAGGUAACGGCUCACCGAGGCGACGAUGCGUAGCCGACCUGAGAGGGUGAUCGGCCACACUGGGACUGAGACACGGCCCAGACUCCUACGGGAGGCAGCAGUAGGGAAUCUUCCGCAAUGGACGAAAGUCUGACGGAGCAACGCCGCGUGAGUGAUGAAGGUUUUCGGAUCGUAAAACUCUGUUGUUAGGGAAGAACAAGUACGAGAGUAACUGCUCGUACCUUGACGGUACCUAACCAGAAAGCCACGGCUAACUACGUG
rnacentral:rRNA from 1 species